UUUAUUUUUGAUUAUCUGCUUACAAGUGUUUGUGCCUCCUGCCGGAACACUGUCACACUGGAAGUGUGGGGAAAGACCAGCAUGCUGACAGGAUGGCACCUCAGUGCCAAAUCUUUGAGUGUGGAUGCUCGCCACUCUUCCUAGGCACUGCAGUCACAGGCACAUUGUCCAUUGUCCUUUGUCCAUUCUCUCUAACCUAAUCUCUCUCACUCCUUCCCGUUGUAAACAAUCCCUCCCAUUGUGUGACCAGCCAGCAGGGCAGGGCUAACCAGAACUGUGAGAGUAUGAAAUGGAAGUUUGUUCUAUUGCCCUUUGCUUUACUGGGCCUCAUAGAUACUGCAUUUUUUAUGUCUCCCUCCCGUUGGGCCUCCCUAUUCUCUGAGACACACCGUGUUGAAAUUAGGCCUAUUAACAAUGGCCUCUAAGUGUUCAAGUAAAGGAGUCGCAUGUCUCUCUUUAAGUCAAAAGCUAGAAAUGAUUAAGCUUCAUGAGGAAGGCAUAAUGAAAGUCAUGAUGGGCUAACAGCUAUGCUUUUAGUACCAACAGCCACUUGUGAAUACAGAAGAUGUCUUCUCGAAGGGGACUAAAGUACUACUACUAUAAAAGCGCAAAUGAUAAGAAAGUGAACUGUCUUGUUGUUGAUAUGGAUAGAAGAUCAAACCAGCCAUAACAUUCCCUUAAGUCACAAACCAAUCCAGAGCAACUAAUCCAGAGCCCGUUCAUGAGGUUUAAGCUGGACCACACUCAUAAUGCAUGGAAACCAAUAUAUCUGUAGUGUCUGGCAGUUGUGUUUUUAUGCAUAUAGUCUCAUUGGAUUAUUACAAUCACCAUGUGAAAUAGGAAUCCUGGUCUCCUUCUUGUAGUUGAGUUAACAAAAGCUCAGAGGAAACUGGUAAGAGAGCAUAUUCUGGAAAGCAGCCAAUGGACAUAGUCUUUAGGGAUAAGCUGCAACUGCUUAUGUUCUGAACUCUACAAUUGUCUUGACUUUGAAGUGCUUAAGGAAUCCUGGAGAUCUAUGAGAACUCUGAUGCCCUCUGAUUUUUGUUCAUUGUUAGGAAAUUUGGUUUUAUUUUUGCCCCUCUCUCUGGUGUUCUGAACCUCCAGAGAUAAUGUGGAUUUUCAUUUCAUUUAUUGACGUUGGCAUUCAGUGGUACUUUUCAGUGUUAUCAUUCACCUGUGGGAGUUAUGUUCUCUCUCUCUAUUUUUUAUUAUUUCCUCCUAUAAUAAUUUCUGUCAAUUUAUCAUUUAAAAAGUUCCUUUUAAUCUCUUGUUGGACAUCCAGAAUUAAUUCUCUAUUCUUUCAUCUUUCCCUCAGACUCUGUCUUUUUUUUUUUUUUUUUUUUUUUACUUCUUCCUUCCAAAGAUUUCCUAGGUUUUAUGGUUUUAUCUUUCAACCUUUUCACUGAUUCUUUAGAUUGUUUUGUUGGUCAGUCAUAGCUGUGAUUUCCAAGAGGUCUUUCAAGAUAACUGGUUUUCUGUUUUUGCAGGCUCCUAUGCUUGUUUUAUAUAAAUAACCUCUUAAACAUCCCUAGAUACUAACUCGAAUGUUAGCUGUUUUUAAGUUUCUUUUUGUUUUCUUUUGUUUUAUAAGUCACUUCUCUUUGUUCUAACUUAAAUAAUUAGGGUUUUAGUUUUGUUUUUAAGUUGAUCUAUUUUUUCAUGAUCCAAACUUCCUCAAAGAGCUGGAGGUGAUUUAUGGCUCUUGGUUGCUUCUAGAAUGUAGGUGGAGCUUAUUAACUGUAGUUUUCAUACUGUGAAAACAAGAUAGCAGGCCAGUUAUGUUUAAGGACCCCCCAAUGCCCACAUGUAGAGAUCUUUGCUCUGGAGAUAUCCAAGUACUGAUAUCCAAAUACUCUAUGUUAGGUAAUCUCAGAAAAUGUAUUUAAUUUCCUUGUGGAAGUGUCCUUUGUUUUUUGUUUGUUUGUUUUUGUUUUUAAUGAGGUGGGGUGCAAAUAACUGGCUUACCAGGAGACUGCAUGUGAUUGGGGAAAUUAGAGAAUGUGGAAUGAACUCAACUGGCCUGGAUUUAGAGUUUUAGACAGACAACUCUGGGUCUGAAUUGUGAGCCUCUCCAGAGUUCUGCCUCAGGUUUCAUGUUACUUUUCUCUCUUCUAGAUCCUUCUCUGCUCUAUGCCACCCUUUCUCCCUACUGCUUCAACAUGCACUCUUACCUUUAUUUUUCAUCUUUCAUUAUUUUGUUAGAACUCCAUGGUUUUUAACAUAUGCUCACCUUUUCUCCUUUUUUAUUGCAUAUUUAUAAUGUUUCAAGCCACUUUAUUAUCA